rnacentral:rRNA from 1 species
UACGUAGGGGCCGAGCGUUGUCCGGAGUUAUUGGGCGUAAAGCGCGCGCAGGCGGCCCGGUUUGCCCGACGUGAAAGCCCCCGGCUUAACCGGGGAGAGUCGUUGGGGACGGCGGGGCUUGAGGGCGGGAGAGGUCGGUGGAAUUCCCGGUGUAGUGGUGAAAUGCGUAGAGAUCGGGAGGAACACCUGUGGCGAAGGCGGCCGACUGGGCCGACCCUGACGCUGAGGCGCGAAGGCGUGGGGAGCAAACAGG